GAUGAACGCUGGCGGCGUGCCUAAUACAUGCAAGUCGAGCGAACAGACGAGGAGCUUGCUCCUCUGACGUUAGCGGCGGACGGGUGAGUAACACGUGGAUAACCUACCUAUAAGACUGGGAUAACUUCGGGAAACCGGAACUAAUACCGGAUAAUAUAUUGAACCGCAUGGUUCAAUAGUGAAAGACGGUUUUGCUGUCACUUAUAGAUGGAUCCGCGCCGCAUUAGCUAGUUGGUAAGGUAACGGUUUACCAAGGCAACGAUGCGUAGCCGACCUGAGAGGGUGAUCGGCCACACUGGAACUGAGACACGGUCCAGACUCCUACGGGAGGCAGCAGUAGGGAAUCUUCCGCAAUGGGCGAAAGCCUGACGGAGCAACGCCGCGUGAGUGAUGAAGGUCUUCGGAUCGUAAAACUCUGUUAUUAGGGAAGAACAAAUGUGUAAGUAACUAUGCACGUCUUGACGGUACCUAAUCAGAAAGCCACGGCUAACUACGUG
rnacentral:rRNA from 1 species